CCGACUUUAGCUCAGUUGGAAGAGCAUCAGACUGUAAUGUGUGACAUAAUCAUCUGGGUGUCGCCUGUUCGAACCAGGCAAGUCGGA